CCCGCUAUUCUACUCCAGUCCCUCCGCUCCAGCCCCUGCCCGAAUCCAAUACCAACCCUAAAUCCAAUACGAACUAUAAUACCUGCUCACGUUAGGAGUCCUUUUCUCCGUCAGGCUCUUUACCUAUCCUGAUUUUAAGUCAGAGAUGCAAACCAGGUGCUGCUGCUCCCAGAGCCUUUAUGCCGUCUUGGAUUGGGCUACUCUUUUUCCCCCGGGGCCUCACAGGAAGGGAGGUGGGCACGGCCAGGGGUAUAUUAACCCCAGCCUUUGCCCAGGGAGGUCAUUCAGCAGCCAGGCUUCAAUGGGAUAAGAGCUCUCCUGUUCUUUUAUUGAAUGGGACUUCUCAAGCUAUUUCUGCUUUAUUGAAGCAUCAGCUUUGGCAUCCAAAGAAGCAGAGCUAUAUAUGGCAAUGAAGAGGAUUAUACUCAAAUGCAGGGUUUUUAAAUUUAAUAAUUUUGUGUGCUGUGUUGGUAAGGUGCUUUUGUAAUUUGUUAUCUUUUUUUCUUUUCCUUAGGAGCCUUCCAUCUUUUGGGAUCUCCCGAUCAUCUGAACUGCAGCUUGGCAUUUUUUCACCAGUGUUAUCUGGUCCUGAGGUGAAGCUACUCUGUGUUGAAGAUGGCUACAGACACCCAGAUACAGAGCCCUGGUCCCAGGAGGCUCUAGGCACUGGAGGGGAGGUGAUCUGGGUGAGUACUGGUGAGCAAGGGGUUCUGCCACCUUCUAACAGACAGUCCAAUGCUUCAGGGACCCUGUCGGUAAGAGGUCCAGGAGAGAGAAUGUGUGCAGCCUCAGAGGGCUGGAGCCACCUGCCAAUUAGGUGUGAUGGUCUUCAGCUGUCCUGGUGAGUAAUCCC